rnacentral:pre_miRNA from 1 species
UCUUCAUUUCAUACACUCUCUCACCGGUCAGACAGGCGAGAGAGAGUUCGAAAUGAGGAGG